GGGCUUGUAGCUCAGCUAGGUAGAGCAGCAGGCUUUUAACCUGUCGGCCAUGGGUUCGAAUCCCAUCAAGCCCGCCA
rnacentral:tRNA from 1 species